GAUGUACGCUGGCGGCGUGCUUAACACAUGCAAGUCGAACGGUGAAGGCGGAGCUUGCUCUGCUGGAUCAGUGGCGAACGGGUGAGUAACACGUGAGCAAUCUGCCCCUGACUCUGGGAUAAGCGCUGGAAACGGCGUCUAAUACUGGAUACGAGCUGCGAAGGCAUCUUCAGCAGCUGGAAAGAAUUUCGGUCAGGGAUGAGCUCGCGGCCUAUCAGCUUGUUGGUGAGGUAAUGGCUCACCAAGGCGUCGACGGGUAGCCGGCCUGAGAGGGUGACCGGCCACACUGGGACUGAGACACGGCCCAGACUCCUACGGGAGGCAGCAGUGGGGAAUAUUGCACAAUGGGCGAAAGCCUGAUGCAGCAACGCCGCGUGAGGGACGACGGCCUUCGGGUUGUAAACCUCUUUUAGCAGGGAAGAAGCGAAAGUGACGGUACCUGCAGAAAAAGCGCCUGCUAACUACGUG
rnacentral:rRNA from 1 species